UUGGUGCUUGCAUCAUGAUUUACAUUUGAGUGAGUGGCGAACUGGUGAGUAACACGUGGGAAACCUGCCCAGAAGCGGGGGAUAACACCUGGAAACAGAUGCUAAUACCGCAUAACAACUUGGACCGCAUGGUCCGAGCUUGAAAGAUGGCUUCGGCUAUCACUUUUGGAUGGUCCCGCGGCGUAUUAGCUAGAUGGUGGGGUAACGGCUCACCAUGGCAAUGAUACGUAGCCGACCUGAGAGGGUAAUCGGCCACAUUGGGACUGAGACACGGCCCAAACUCCUACGGGAGGCAGCAGUAGGGAAUCUUCCACAAUGGACGAAAGUCUGAUGGAGCAACGCCGCGUGAGUGAAGAAGGGUUUCGGCUCGUAAAACUCUGUUGUUAAAGAAGAACAUAUCUGAGAGUAACUGUUCAGGUAUUGACGGUAUUUAACCAGAAAGCCACGGCUAACUACGUGCCAGCAGCCGCGGUAAUACGUAGGUGGCAAGCGUUGUCCGGAUUUAUUGGGCGUAAAGCGAGCGCAGGCGGUUUUUUAAGUCUGAUGUGAAAGCCUUCGGCUCAACCGAAGAAGUGCAUCGGAAACUGGGAAACUUGAGUGCAGAAGAGGACAGUGGAACUCCAUGUGUAGCGGUGAAAUGCGUAGAUAUAUGGAAGAACACCAGUGGCGAAGGCGGCUGUCUGGUCUGUAACUGACGCUGAGGCUCGAAAGUAUGGGUAGCAAACAGGAUUAGAUACCCUGGUAGUCCAUACCGUAAACGAUGAAUGCUAAGUGUUGGAGGGUUUCCGCCCUUCAGUGCUGCAGCUAACGCAUUAAGCAUUCCGCCUGGGGAGUACGGCCGCAAGGCUGAAACUCAAAGGAAUUGACGGGGGCCCGCACAAGCGGUGGAGCAUGUGGUUUAAUUCGAAGCUACGCGAAGAACCUUACCAGGUCUUGACAUACUAUGCAAAUCUAAGAGAUUAGACGUUCCCUUCGGGGACAUGGAUACAGGUGGGUGCAUGGUUGUCGUCAGCUCGUGUCGUGAGAUGUUGGGGUUAAGUCCCCGCACCGAGCGCAACCCUUAUUAUCAGUUGCCAGCAUUAAGUUGGGCCUCUUGUGGA
rnacentral:rRNA from 2 species